AGCCUGCGGUUUAAUUGGACUCAACGCCGGGAAGCUCACCGGAUAAGACAGCUGGAUGAUAGCCGGGCUGAAGACUCUGCUUGACUAGCUGAGAGGAGGUGCAUGGCCGUCGUCAGUUCGUACUGUGAAGCAUCCUGUUAAGUCAGGCAACGAGCGAGACCCACGCCAACAGUUGCCAGCUCGUCCUCCGGGAUGGAGGGGACACUGUUGGGACCGCUCUGCUAAAGAGGAGGAAGGAAUGGGCAACGGUAGGUCAGCAUGCCCCGAAUUAUCCGGGCUACACGCGGGCUACAAUGGUCAGGACAAUGGGUAUCGACACCGAGAGGUGGAGGCAAUCUCCUAAACCUGUCCUUAGUUCGGAUUGUGGGCUGCAACUCGCCCACAUGAAGCUGGAAUCCGUAGUAAUCGCGUUUCAAAAUAGCGCGGUGAAUAUGUCCCUGCUCCUU
rnacentral:rRNA from 1 species